rnacentral:rRNA from 1 species
ACGGGAGGCAGCAGUGGGGAAUAUUGCACAAUGGGCGGAAGCCUGAUGCAGCGACGCCGCGUGAGGGAUGACGGCCUUCGGGUUGUAAACCUCUUUCAGCAGGGACGAAGCGCAAGUGACGGUACCUGCAGAAGAAGCGCCGGCCAACUACGUGCCAGCAGCCGCGGUAAGACGUAGGGCGCGAGCGUUGUCCGGAUUUAUUGGGCGUAAAGAGCUCGUAGGCGGCUUGUCGCGUCGACCGUGAAAACUUGGGGCUCAACCCCAAGCCUGCGGUCGAUACGGGCAGGCUAGAGUUCGGUAGGGGAGACUGGAAUUCCUGGUGUAGCGGUGAAAUGCGCAGAUAUCAGGAGGAACACCGGUGGCGAAGGCGGGUCUCUGGGCCGAUACUGACGCUGAGGAGCGAAAGCGUGGGGAGCGAACAGGAUUAGAUACCCUGGUA